GCGCGAGCCCGGGACGCGGCGGGGCCGAGCCGCGGGAAGUUGUCUGCGCCGGGCGCGGAGCGAGCGGGGCGCCAGUCACCCGCGCCCAAGUAGUCACAACUUUGCCGCCUGGGUGGGUGCGCGCUCCGGAGAGAGGCGAGCGCGGGAGAGCGGGGCAAAGGCGCUGGGGCGGGAGGGUCUUCGGAGCAGGCAGGACUGCAACCUGAACGGCCCGCGAGGAAAGGGGAAAGGUGGCGCGGGGGGAUGUCUACACAGCCUGUGUGGUGCGCGGCGAGCGAGUGUGUAAGAGCGCGGGCGUCUACUCUACUUUGCCUCCUGCAGCUCCUGCAUAUUUAUGGGGAUCUCUGAUGUUCCUGCUAGUAACUAACACUGCAGCAGUGGAGCCCAGCCCAGGCGCCCCUCGGGAGCAAGCCGGGGUGCGGGGGCUCACGGAAGGCGGCCGCGGCGGAGGCUGUGCCGCGAGCGCGAGCCUGCGAUCCAUAUUUAAAGCCCUUGGUGACAAGAAGAAUGAGCAGAAAAACUGAUGGAAUUAGAAAAAUGGUGUCCUAAUAGGCAUCUAAAGAAAACAGAAAGGAGGAAGGACCUUUGUUUCGAUGACAAGCACCAUCUAGUGGCAGCAGGUGAUGACGACAUAAUGUCUCUAAGAAGAAUGAAGAUGAAAGUUUUCGAAUAGGUAGUCCAGGCAUUUCUGGUCGCUUAUAGGCAUGACAUUCUUUGAUUCUAAAACAAGAAGUUGUAUGUAGUAGAAUAAUGCAAUUGAUCGGCCCUGCGUUGAUUAUUGAAAGUAAGGUGCCGAUGUGACCUGCAGAUAGGAUUAUUAGCAUAGAAUUUUCUCAGUAUUUGUGUGACUGACUAGGUCCUUAAAGACUCUGUAUUUAAGUUUCCUCAUUACAUAAAAUAGGAAGAGUGAUGGCUUGUCACCAUAUGUUGUCUGUAAAGCACUGUGUUCAACAAAGAGCAGAAUCCAUAAAUAUAACUAUUAUAUUUGGAUUUUUUCACUAUUGGGAAAAAAGGUGAAAAAUAUUGUUGGAUGUUUCUCCUGGAGUUAUACAAAAUUAUAACAUUCAUAGGCAUUUCAUAUUGGGGCCUAAACAGAAAGGUGGUAGGAGAUAACAUUAUAGCUUGUUACUAUAAACGUCAAAGACUGAUCAGAGAUGUUUGUCAAUAUCAAGUCCUUUUUAAAUAGGUGGUUCAUUGGCGAAAGUCUGACCAACAUGUUGCUACACAGAAUAGAGAUUUUCUUUGUGCUGAUAUUUGUUUGGACUUGUAGUUGUUUGCAACAGAAUGAUCA
rnacentral:lncRNA from 1 species